CACGUGGGGAGCAAGCGUUGUUCGGAAUCACUGGGCGUAAAGGGCGUGUAGGCGGUCGAGUAAGUGGAAUGUGAAAUGCCCGGGCUUAACCUGGGAACUGCAUUUGUGACUGCAUGGCUAGAGUUUGGCAGAGGGGGGUAGAAUUCCACGUGUAGCAGUGAAAUGCGUAGAUAUGUGGAGGAACACCGAUGGCGAAGGCAGCCCCCUGGGUAAAGACUGACGCUCAUGCACGAAAGCGUGGGGAGCAAACAGG
rnacentral:rRNA from 1 species